rnacentral:lncRNA from 1 species
AUGAGCAAGAGAGCAGAGGUCAUUAUUUCGAUGAGGUGUUUGCUGUUUACUCCCAGUUAUGCUCUGGACGUAUUCUUUCUUAUUAGCAAGCCUGGAGCAGCGCUGGAGAGCGUUCAAAUAAUUUCCCCUAAAAUCUGGACUCCAGGACACUCCGGCACACAGAUGAAUGCCCCCGUGGGCAAAUUGCCUCCCCAGCCUGUCCAGAGUCACCUAGGCUGCGGCAAACGGUUUUUCAGAGCCAGAUACGUUGCCGUGGGAAUGAAUGGUCCUGCUUUCAGUCCGGGCUCUGCAAGGCUUCCGACCGGCCAGCACGCUGAUCCGGGUGCCGUGCCCUGGAGUCACCCCCUGCAUCCUGCUCUCCCUCCCCGUCUAAUACAAUAAUUUAUUUGGUGGGGUUCUUUUUUUCUCUACUGAGUUUCGUGGAGCCGGCAAAGAAACACAGGCAUGAACUAGCUCCCCAAACUCAGUCCUUAAUCUGUUUGUCUUAUUCACUUAUGGAGAAAAACAGAAAGAAAAGUGACUAAAACGUUGUGUGUUUUGACACCCAAGUACUCAUGGGAAGGUGUGAUGGGCUGAAUUGUGUCCCCUCAAAAUUUACGUGUUGCAGUCCUGGUCCCCAGUCCACCUCAGAAUGUGGCCUUAUUUGGAGCCAGGGUCUUUACAGAGGUAAUUAAGUUAAAGGAGGUCCUUAGAGUGGCCCUAAUCCAGAAUGACUGAUGUCUUUAUGAGAAGAGGAGAUUAGGACACAGACCGGCGCAGAGGAAGGACCAUAGGAGGACAUCGGAGAGGCUGGCCGUCUACAGGACGAGGAGCCAGCCCUUCCCCCAGGACCCUCAGAAGGAGCUGAUUCUGCUGACAUCUUGAUCUUGCACUUCUCACCUCCAGAACUGAGACAAUACGUUUCUGCUGUUUAAGCCACCCCGUCUACGAUUCUUUGUUAGGGCAACCCUCACAAACCCAUACAGAAGGUGAGAAAAUUAAUUUAGCCCUCGGUGUACUUUGGUAUUCCAAAAGGACUUCCAAUAUUUUGAACACCCUAAGGCUCAUCUUCCCUGGCAGGGAAC